GCUGGAUAUUUUCGUACUGUUUCCUUUUUACCAGUACUGUUUCAGAACUGAAAAAUCUGUAAAAUGUCAAUUCUUAAUUCAUAUCGGUACAAAUCAUGUCAAUAUAUUACAGGGAAAAAAAUCAAUAGCAGGGAAAAGGGUUUCCGUCAAACUUACCCUGAUAGAAAGAAAGCAAUACCAAUUAACCAAGCGAAUUUUCCUGCUUCAUAUUUUAAAGAUGUCAUUAUAUGUAAACAGCAAAAUCUACAUUUUGUAUGUAUUGAAUACUUCGAAAAUACAAUUAUUUCGCAUGGUGGAAUUUCCGUGAAUGACACUCUUCGAUGAACAAAUAUACCAAAGUCUGAAAAUAUAGAAAUAUAGUAUGUUUAAAAUGUUUGGACUCCGUAUACAUAUUCACUUUACACUUGAGAAUAUUUGAUUCCCUAGAAAUUCUCUGACAAUUAUCUUUUUUCUUACCUUUGCGUUCAACUUCCAUGUCAGAAAAAUGUUGAUAUUUCAGUUUGUUACAGUUAAAUUAAAAUUAUUUUCUUAAAUAUUAACAAACCGAAAUAAAUAGAUCGAUAAUGAA